AUGAGACAAUUUAUAUGGUGCAACCGGAAGGUUUUGCCAUUAAAGGUAAAGAACACAUGGGAUGCAGAUUAAAGAAAUCCAUUUAUGGACUUAAGCAAGCGUCCAGACAGUGGAACCUCAAAUUCGAUGAAGUUAUUAAGAAAUUCGGAUUUGUGGAAAAUGAUGCAGAUAGAUGCAUCUACAUUAAAGCCAAGGGUGGAAAACUAAUAAUUCUAAUACUGUAUGUGGAUGACAUACUGUUAGCCUGCAACGAUAAGAACAUGUUGCAUGAGACUAAGAAUUUCCUCUCAUCUCAUUUUGAUAUGAAGGAUCUUGGUGAAGCCUCGUAUGUGUUAAGAAGGCAUUAAGAUAUUGCCAAGGCACAAAACAUUACAUGUUAACAUAUAAGAGAACUGAUAACCUUGAGGUUGAAUGUUACACUGACGCUGACUUUGCUGGUGAUGAAGAUGACAGGAAGUCUACUUCCGGUUAUAUUUAUACACUAGCAAGGGGAGCGAUAUCAUGGAGAAGUGGUAAGCAAGGUGUAACGGCUGCAUCUACAAUGCAAGCUGAAUUUGUAUCAUGUUAUGAUGCCACGGGACAGGCAGUGUGGCUUAAGAACUUU